GAUGAACGCUGGCGGCGUGCCUAAUACAUGCAAGUCGAGCGAACAGAUAAGGAGCUUGCUCCUUUGAAGUUAGCGGCGGACGGGUGAGUAACACGUGGGUAACCUACCUAUAAGACUGGGAUAACUUCGGGAAACCGGAGCUAAUACCGGAUAACAUUUAGAACCGCAUGGUUCUAAAGUGAAAGAUGGUUUUGCUAUCACUUAUAGAUGGACCCGCGCCGUAUUAGCUAGUUGGUAAGGUAACGGCUUACCAAGGCGACGAUACGUAGCCGACCUGAGAGGGUGAUCGGCCACACUGGAACUGAGACACGGUCCAGACUCCUACGGGAGGCAGCAGUAGGGAAUCUUCCGCAAUGGGCGAAAGCCUGACGGAGCAACGCCGCGUGAGUGAUGAAGGGUUUCGGCUCGUAAAACUCUGUUAUUAGGGAAGAACAAAUGUGUAGGUAACUGUGCACAUCUUGACGGUACCUAAUCAGAAAGCCACGGCUAACUACGUGCCAGCAGCCGCGGUAAUA
rnacentral:rRNA from 1 species